GUAGGGAAUUUUCGUCAAUGGGCGCAAGCCUGAACGAGCAAUGCCGCGUGAGUGAGGAAGGCCUUCGGGUCGUAAAGCUCUGUUGCGAGGGAAAAAGGAACGGAAGAGGAAAUGAUUCCGUUUUGAUGGUACCUCGCCAGAAAGUCACGGCUAACUACGUGCCAGCAGCCGCGGUAAUACGUAGGUGGCAAGCGUUAUCCGGAAUGAUUGGGCGUAAAGGGUGCGCAGGCGGCAUAUCAAGUCUGAAGUGAAAGGUACGGGCUCAACCUGUACAGGCUUUGGAAACUGGUAUGCUCGAGGACAGGAGAGGGCGGUGGAACUCCACGUGUAGCGGUAAAAUGCGUAGAGAUGUGGAAGAACACCAGUGGCGAAGGCGGCCGCCUGGCCUGUAACUGACGCUCAGGCACGAAAGCGUGGGGAGCAAAUAGG
rnacentral:rRNA from 1 species